rnacentral:sRNA from 1 species
UCUGUGUGUGCAGAUACUGUGUGUGUAGAUACCAUGCAAUCAUUGAACCACGUUUAUAAGGAAUAGAGGGUUUUUCUUUUUAACAGAUCACCAGUGAGAAUGAAGACAAGUGUGGACAAGAAAUACACUUGAGCAGAGGAAGCCUUUGCAUCUCAACACAGUACAUUCUAUUUCUUGAGUUAUAAGUGCCCAUCGUACAGACCGUUUCCUUCUACCCUUAGUGUGCCAAGGGUCAGGAUGCUUUUAGAAUGUGUUUCUUUCACAGACCAGACUCCUGGCAAUACCGAAGUCCUAUACCUGGAGUGGUGCCACCCACAUUCAGGCUGUGUCUUUUUACACUGAGCAAAGCAGUCAAGACAUUUCCCAACAGACAUUCCCACAGCCUCCCUGAGCUAGAGAGGCCCUCACUGAGAAUCACCUCUCAGGUGACUGUAAGUGAUGUCAUGUUGUCAUGUCAUUUUAACCAACCAGCACAACUGGCAUGGCCAACUCUCAUCACCUUCUAACUCCCAAAUAUUCUGUCAUCUCAGAGAGGUCCCCAGCCACUGUUCUUACCUUCAGCCUGACUGUAGCUUUAUCUGUUCCAACUCUGCAGACCUGCCAUUUCUAGGAGUGUUGUCUAGAUGGAGUCAUGCAGCUCCUGGCUUGUUGCUAAGCACAGGUGCUGGUGUAUCACACAUGUGUGUCAGUCAGAACCCUCCUCUGUCACUUUGGUUCCUUGGUGUGGCCAGGCUAUAGCUUUUCUGUUGUUGGGCCUGUGGGUGGCCUUUACUUCUCCCCAGUGCUACUCGGAGUCCUCACUGUUCUUGGCAUGUGUACUUUGAGGUAGAAUUGUGCCUGUGCACAGUAAUGGGAUUGCAGGGCACAGGAGCUAGGUGUUCUCUUUGGUGGGUUAGCAUUGUCAAUCAGAUACCUAUGAGGCAGGCUUCUGGGAACACCUUUGAGGGAUUGUCUGGGUUAAGAUUAGCCUUUGGGAAUGAAUGUCAAUAAAGGAUUGCCUGAAUUAAGUUGAAGUGGGAAGACCUGCCCACUGUGGGUGGCACCAUUCCCUAGCCAUGAUAUCCUGGAUUUUUUUUAAGGAUGGAGAAUGUGAGUGGAGCACUAGCAUGUAUGUGUUAACCCAGUGGUCUCUGCUCUGGAAUGUAGACAGAGUAUAACCAGUUUUCUUAAAUGCCUGCUUCUGUAACCGCCCUGCCAUGAUGAUAAUGACCUGGAACUGUGAGUCCAAUGCACCCUUUCUCCCUUAAGUUGCUUUCGUCCGAGAUUUUAUUACAACAACAGAAAAUAAACUAAGACAGAGACCCCCUUCUCUUUGCAGCCUGAGUGGUAGGAGGGCAGGUGUGGACGUCCCUUCCUGACUCUCUGACUGCAUGCUGAACUGGAAGGCAGCCCUAUGGCUGCCAGGACUGUGUCCCCUGGGAGGCAGGGCCUUAUUCGCUGGAUCUGCAGUGAUCGGUGGUCUCAGGCAGGCUGCUCUCUGGUCCAAAGCAUUGCAGUUGGUGGCCACACCCAGGGCUGUGGUUCCUGCCAGGCAUAAAGUCCAACAGGACACCAACAAAACCAUGGCUGCCAGCUCCAGUGCCAUGAAGCAGGCGUCAGAGCUGCGGGGCUUCUGCCUGCCAACCAGGAGGAUGAGGACCUUACCAGCCUGUACCCACUGUGGAUGGUGCAGCCCACCUGAAUCUGAGCCCUGGGACUUCUGUGGAGUCUUCCAGACAUCCAUGUCCUCAUUCUCCCUACCUCAUCUCCAUCCUCAGCAUCCCCUGCAGCCACACGCAUGGAGACCCUCGGCCCCUCCCUGUCCUCUCUGUCCUUUGGAAGGACCCCAGAAACAGCAGCUGAGCCCUCCACCUUUGAGCAACAGCUGUUGGACUUUCACAAGCGGCAGGACACCCUCCUGGCCAGCUGGUCCCAGCAACAGAGCACACGAUGGCCCAGCAAAACCAGCUGCUGUAGCAGCUGACCAAGCAAAGCCAGUGGCUGGCUGACGGCGUCAAGCUCUCAACCAAAACCCUUGAUCACUUGGUGGCAGUUUGCCUUGCCCAGGAAGCCUCAUCUGCAGUCCCAUACAACGUCCCAGGUGGUGGAACAGCACAGAGACCCAACUGAUGUCCCUGGAAUACCCACCUGUGCCUGGAGGUCUCCUCACGGAUCCUAAAGGCUAGAUCCACCUGAGAAGAGGACCCUCAAUUGAGAAUGUGCCUCCCUCUUACUGGCACACAGGUAAACCUUUCUGGAAACGCCAGAUAUUGUCCAGAGAUGUGUUUCCAUGGCAAUCCUCAUCUAGCCAAGUUGGCAAUGAGGAUGAAUAAUCAACGAGCAUCAACUUUCAACUGAACUCUGGUGUCUCUCUGCCUUAAAUAUGUCUCUUGGAAACUGCUGAAUUAUAUUAAAAAAAAAAAGCUGAUGUUCGGACUUCACUGCGGUGGUAAAUGGCAGCGCGCUCUGCUGAAGAUCCCAACAGGAAUUGGACUCCAGUCAGUCCUUCACAGACCCAGCUCAAAUCUUCUGAGUGUUCUCGUGCACUCCUUGUCAGCCACUCCGCAGACACCUACUCAUUCGGGCGGAGCACAGAGGAGGGGCUAACCCCAGGAUGCUCACUGGCAGAGAAGACUUUUUGCUGAGAUUGUCUUGGCAUCCAAUGGAUCUAUAGCCAUGGCCAUCCAGGAGCCCUGGGGCACCUGUGGUAGGGUCAAGUGUGAGAUGGAGCACGGAAGUGUGAUGCUGGUUGUUGGAGUGGUACCUAGGCACUGAUGAAUGUUCCUCUACCCCAACAGCAAGACACAGCUUGCUCUCAAAUAUCAAUGACGGUAGGUUGAUGGUACUUGAUUCUCUUGGGAGGACAACAGCCACACACUAGGGAGGGUACAGUGGGGAAGGAAGAGUCUCGAGAGUCCCAAGUGAGUGUUUGUGGUAGUUUGAAUAAGAAUCCCCACCACCACCUCUAGGCUCAUAAAUUUGAACGCAUAGGGAGUGGCACUGUUUGAAAGGAUUGGGAGGUGUGGCCUUGUUGGAGGAAGUAGUCACUGGGAGUAAGCUCGGAGGUUUUAAGAACCCAAGCCAGGCCCAGUGGCUUUCUCUUCCUGCUGAGUGUGGAUGUGAAUGUAGGACCUUCAACUCCCUCUUCAGCGCCAUGUCUGCAUGUAUGCCACCAUACUUCCUGCCAUGAUGAUAAUGGACUGAACCUCUGAAACUGUAA